GACGAACCGUCCAAACGUUAUUCGGAAUCACUGGGCUUAAAGGGUGCGUAGGCGGCGCGGAAAGUUGGGUGUGAAAUCCCUCGGCUCAACCGAGGAACUGCGCCCAAAACUACCGUGCUCGAGGGAGAUAGAGGUGAGCGGAACUUAGGGUGGAGCGGUGAAAUGCGUUGAUAUCCUAAGGAACACCGGUGGCGAAAGCGGCUCACUGGAUCUCUUCUGACGCUGAGGCACGAAAGCUAGGGUAG
rnacentral:rRNA from 1 species